rnacentral:rRNA from 1 species
GGGUGACUGCGUACCUUUUGUAUAAUGGGUCAGCGACUUAUAUUCUGUAGCAAGGUUAACCGAAUAGGGGAGCCGCAGGGAAACCGAGUCUUAACUGGGCGUUAAGUUGCAGGGUAUAGACCCGAAACCCGGUGAUCUAGCCAUGGGCAGGUUGAAGGUUGGGUAACACUAACUGGAGGACCGAACCGACUAAUGUUGAAAAAUUAGCGGAUGACUUGUGGCUGGGGGUGAAAGGCCAAUCAAACCGGGAGAUAGCUGGUUCUCCCCGAAAGCUAUUUAGGUAGCGCCUCGUGAA